CCCUUAGAUGUUCGGGGCCGCACGCGCGCUACACUGAAGGAAUCAGCACGUCUUUCUCCUUGUCCGAAAGGACUGGGUAACCCGCUGAACCUCCUUUGUGCUAGGGAUUGGGGCUUGUAAUUCUUCCCCAUGAACGAGGAAUUCCCAGUAAGCGCGAGUCAUAAGCUCGCGUUGAUUACGUCCCUGCCCUUUGUACACACCGCCCGUCGCUACUACCGAUUGGAUGGUUUAGUGAGAUCCUCGGAUUGGUCCCGGCGCGGCCUCUGGUCGUGCCGGAGUGCCGAAAAGAAUGUCGAACUUGAUCAUCUAGAGGAAGUAAAAGUCGUAACA
rnacentral:rRNA from 1 species